rnacentral:lncRNA from 1 species
ACAAGUAAUGUUAGAAUAGAAGGGCAGUCAGGUACUCGGGUAAAACCCGAUUGAGGAAUGUAAAGCAUCUCUAAAGCCUAUAAAAGGCAACUCUCACAUCAGUGAGAAAAUAACGAGUCAGGUAUUAUUCAAUCUCUCUUUUAUUUUGAUUCUUGGUCUUCUAACCCUCCAAUCUUCUCCAGGUUUAGUUUACUGUUUUAUCUUGUUCUUCCGGUCAGAUUCUUCCCGUCACCUGAUCUUCGUUCGACCAUCUUCGAUCUUCAUCUUCAGUUCUUCGGAUUCAGUUCCUCUCAUUGUGAGAUUAGUUUUUUGGGUUUUCUUCAUUAAUCUGUCUUAGUUGUGAACAAUUUUUUUCAUUUCUUCCUAUUUUGUAGAUGUUCUUGUAGUUAGUUGCAGUCUUUUAUUUCUAUGUUAUUUCCAUUCAGUUAUCAGAUGUUUAUCUUGAAUCCUUAAAUCCAAUUUGUAAUCGUAUAUGUUUGAUUUGAAUCUUGCUUAAUAGUCUUGUCUAUUCUAAGUAUUAUUCAUCUUUAUACUCUGAUCAUCAUCACAGUUCUUAUGCUUAAAUUCCUAUACUACUUUAUUUAGUUUAAAUCUAUUCAAAUAGUUAUACAUAGAUAGAACUGUCUACUCUGAAAUUCUACAUGGUAUCAGAGCUUUGAUCCUUUUGGUCCAUUCAAGUUUUAUUUCAGAUCUACUAUUUUGCCAAGUUUUUUUGAUCUAGAUCCGGAAUUAUUACAAGCAUUAUAUAUUUUGAAUAUGUUGUGUUAAGUGUAAACAAUUGAGUAUGGUUUGAUUCCUUGUUGUUCUAAUUCAUCAUUGCAGUUUUUCCAUGGCCAAUCCACCUGAACAACCAUUUAUACCACAAAAUCCUUUACCUCUGAACUUAUACACAACACCAACAAUUCCACCUCCAACCUCUGCCAACUACAACAUUUUUAGCCUAGUUCCGGAUAAGAUGGAUAGAGGGAAUUACCUAUGCUGGAAAAAUCAAUUCGAAUGUGCUCUUAGAGUACAUAAGAUGUUGAAAUUUGUGUCUGGAACAGAGCCCGUUCCAGCCAGAAAAUUAGACAAUGGUAAUGACAACCCUGAGUUUGAGAAAUGGGAAACCAGGGAUAAUUUGAUUCUAGAAUGGCUGAAGGCUACUGUCACGAAUCCCUACCAACUGAUGCUGUUAAAAUGCAAUUCAGCAUUUGAGGGCUGGAAUUCUUUAGAAAUAUUAUUCUCUCCUGUUAGUAAAACUCAGAUCCAAGUAAUAAGAGAUCAGCUAAGCAACCUGAAGAAAAUAUCAACAGAGUCAAUGCAGGAUUAUCUAGUUAAAGCAAAAGGACUAGUAGAAUCACUAGCUUCUACUGGUGAGGAAAUCAGUGAUACACAAAUUCUGGCUUAUAUCCUAAAUGGACUAGGAGCUGAUUACCAUGUGAUAACAACAACUGUGAGGUCUAGAGGUCCUACCAGUUUUGAAGAGCUUACUAUUUGCUUAUCAGUGAAGAUAAUUUUUUUUAAAAAAUUCAGAGUGAAACACAAGUCACAGCAUUUGCAGCUAACUAUCAGCCUAAAGGAAAUAAUAAUUACAAUCAUGGGAGAGGAAGAAAUUAUGCUGGAAAUAAUGGAAGUGACUAUCAAAAUUCAGGUGUGUAUAACUACAAUCCAAAUGGGUAUGGAUAUCAAAAUUCUGGUGGUUUUUACAAUCCUGGUGGUCAGAAUAUGUUCGGGCCUAGAGCACCACAAUAUCACACUCAAUAUUAUCAUUAACACAGACCACAAUACUAUAACCAACCCAGACCUUAUUCAAAUCCAAUUUUCAGAACACCACAACCUCAGCAAGUUCCUCAGGCAUUUAUAACUCCUCAAAACAACAGUCCACAACCACCACCUAUCUUACCAAAACCUGCAUCCAUUGAUCAGAACUUUAACUGUCAGAUUUGUGACAAAAAAGGGCAUCUGGCCAAAGCAUGUCCUGAUCUGCACAAUUUUUCUGCUCAUCUGGCUGAUACUACAACAACAGAGAUACAACCAGCACCUGUUCAGAAUAUUGAUCCCAAUCAGAUAGUGGCAAUGUCAGAUGUAGCACACUGCAAUGAGUCAACAUGGUGUCUAGAUUCAGGAGCUAGCAGCCACAUGACCCCAGAUAUAGAAGCCUUCACUGCUUAUGAGCAGUUUGCAGGUAACCAGUCUGUUAUUGUAGGUAGUGGGGAAAGGUUGAGAAUCAUGCAUAAAGGUUCUGUUUGCAUUUUGCAAGGGGGAAGAAGUUUAUAAUUAAUGGAGUUUUGCAUGUACCUGGGUUAAAGAAAAGUCUAUUAUUAAUUCAAAAAUUAUCACAUGACCAUAAUUGUGUGAUUCUUUUUAACAAAAAUGGUUUUGUGGUGAAGGACCAAUGUACCAAGGAGAUGUUGUUUUCUGGUAAUAGCUCGGGAGGUUUAUAUCACCUGGACCAGGAUGUAAAAGCAAAUGUUGUUGGAGUCAAAACUACAAAGGGAUAUGGCACUCAAGGCUGGGACACACGUCUGAAGCCAUUCUAAAGGAUCUAUCAUGGAUACUGCCUUGUUUAGCUAGUAAAAUAAAGGAAGGUAGUUGUCCUAUUUGUCCAUUAGGGAAGGCUCAUAGGUUACCAUAUAAAAGGAGUACAAGUGUCUGUAAUAAACCUUUAGAGCUAAUUUACAUUGAUUUGUGGGGGCCUGCUCCUGUUAAUUCAGUUCACUCAUUUGCAUAUUAUGCUUCAUUUGUUGAUGAAUUCUCAAAAUUCAGUUGGAUUGUCCCUAUGCAACAUAAGUCUGAUUUUUUUCAAGUAUUUGUGGUAUUUAAAAGGCAAGUAGAGAACUUAUUAGAAACUACAAUCAAGGAGAUACAAACAGAUAUGGGGGGUGAAUUUCUCAAUAGGAAAAUGAAAGAGUUUUGUCAAACAGGUGGGAUAAAACAAAGAAUAUCUUGUGCCUAUACACCACAACAAAAUGGAGUGGUGGAAAGGAGGCAUAGACAAAUUGUGCAAAUAAGUGGAUGCAUUUUUGCUCAGUCUGGGAUACCACAUGUUUACUGGCCAGAAGUAUUUUCUUCAGCUGUAUUUAUCUUAAACAGACUCCCUAAAUCUAUACUAGAGCACAGAACACCUCAUGAGGUCCUACUUAAAAAAUUACCAGAUUAUACUUUACUGAAAACAAUAGGAUGCUUAUGUUAUCCCUUCAUUCAUAAACACCUAAGAAAAAAAUUAGAGCCUAAAGCGUCAAAAUCUGUUUUCUUAGGCUAUGCAACACAACAAAAGGGUUAUAGAUGUCUUGAUUUAGAAACCUUGAAAAUUACAGUCUCUAGAGAUGUCUUAUUUGAUGAACAAACUUUUCCUUUCUAAAACAAAUUAAAUCUAAACAAAUCCAAUCAUCCCGAGAUUAUACAAAAAACAACACAAUUCUAUCCAUGCAUGAUGAUGAGUUCAAUAUAGUAUCCACCAUUUCAAUGAAUACUACUAAUACAAAUAAACAAAAUAUUAGUUCUUCUGAUAAUUUACAAUCUGAUCUUAAAAACUCUGAGCAGGAUGGUUCUAUUGUACCAAGCUCACCAGAAGAUAUAUCAUCUAUUGAAUCGUCUUCCACCUUAUCUUCUGAUGGUACAGUUUCAGCAAAUAGGUCAGCUGAUAACUCUCUUAGUAAUUCUCCUAUUAAACGUGUAAGUGAACCUGUUUUAAGAAGAUCUGAGAGGGUAAAAGUUCCAAGUGUCUUACUAAAAGAUUUUGAUUGCUCUUUUUCCACUAAUAUGUCUAAUAUAUCUAUUCCAUGUGAGCCUACUUCUUAUGCACAGGCUAUAAAAUAGGGAUGUUGGGGAGAACCUAUGAAGGAGGAGAUAGAAGCUAUGAAUCAGAACAAGACCUGGACUCUUGUACCACAUGAGCAACAUAUGAACAUAGUGGGAUCAAAGUGGGUUUACAAGGUUAAGAAGAAGGCAGAUGGGUCAGUAGAGAGACUAAAGGCUAGGCUGGUUGCAAGAGGUUUUACCCAAGAGGAAGGUACAGAUUUUCACUAUACCUAUAGUCCUGUCAUAAAGAUUUCAAAUGUUAGAACUGUGAUAUCUUUGGCAACUACCUUUGGGUGGGAAUUGCAACAAUUGGAUGUCAGGAAUGCAUUUCUUAAUGGAUUUUUACAAGAAACUGUCUACAUGAAACAACCCACGGGAUUCAUAGAUGCAAAAAGACCCAAAGAUGUAUGUUUAUUGCAUAAAGCCAUAUAUAGGCUAAAACAGGCACCAAGGGCUUGGUACAUGAGGUUACAAGCCUUUUUGGUUAAAAAGGGCUUCACUAAUUCUCACACAGAUGCCUCACUAUUUUUCAAGAACUCUGAAAAUUCAAAGGUUAUUAUAUUGGUGUACGUUGAUGACAUUAUUGUCACAGGUGGAAACUCAAAAGAAAUUAAGGAGGUAAUUUCAGAAAUAUGUUCUGAAUUUGCUUGCAGGGAGUUGGGAUCUCUUAAAUAUUUUCUGGGAAUGGAAUGUAAUUACACAGGUUCUACAAUAGUUUUGUCUCAAGAAAAGUAUAUAAAUGAUCUGCUCACAAAAUAUGAGUUUGACAAGGCUAAACCUACAAAUACUCCAAUGGUACAGUCACCAAGAAUGUAUGAGAUUGUUGGAGAACAAGUUCAGGAUAUUACAGCAUAUAGGAGUAUGGUAGGUUCUCUCCAGUAUCUGAGUCUAACUAGACCAGAUAUAUCGUUUGCUGUUAAUCAAGUAUGCCAACAUUUACAUAAUCCAUUAGAAGGUCACUUGUUAGCGGUAAAAAGGAUAUUCAGAUAUCUAAGAGGGACUUCAAACAUAGGGUUGAGGUUCACUCCUAGUGAGAACAAACAAUUAUUCCUAGAAGCUUACUGUGAUUCACAUUGGAGUGGUACAUUAGACAGAAGGUCGAUAAGUGGGUCUAGUAUUUGGCUAAAUGGAAAUUUAGUAUCAUGGUCCACCAAAAAGCAGCCAUCAGUAUCGUUAUCAAGUGCAGAAGCUGAGUUUAAGGCACUUUCUCAUGUAACUUCUGAAGUUAGAUGGUAUUGUUCAUUAUUCAGAGAAAUGGGUUUUACAUUCUCAAAACCACCACUAUUGUUGUGUGAUAACAAGUCAGCCAUAUACAUGGCGACUAACCCUACAAUUACAAGCAGAUCUCGGCAUAUUGACAUAGCAUACUACUUUUUUCGAAAGUUGAUAAGUAAAGGAGCUAUUGAAGUUAGAUACAUACCUACGGGGCUUCAAUUAGCAGAUGGCUUCACAAAGGUUUUGGGAACAGAGGCAUUCCGACGUCAUAGACACCGACACAAAUUAAUUCAAUUAACACAUGCGUCAAAUUCUGGUCAUCCAAGUUCGUCGGAAUUCUUCCCGUCGACCUUUCGGGAGGAUGUUAGAAUAGAAGGGCAGUCGGGUACUCGGGUAAAACCCGAUUGAGGAAUGAGAAGCAUCUCUAAAGCCUAUAAAAGGAAACUCUCACAUCAGUGAGAAAAUAACGAGUCAGGUAUUAUUCAAUCUCUCUUUUAUUUUGAUUCUUGGUCUUCUAACCCUCCAAUCUUCUCCAGGUUUAGUUUACUAUUUUAUCUUGUUCUUCCGGUCAGAUUCUUCCCGUCACCUGAUCUUCGUUCGAACAUCUUCGAUCUUCAUCUUCAGUUCUUCGGAUUCAGUUCCUCUCAUUGUGAGAUUAGUUUUUUGGGUUUUCUUCAUUUAUCUGUCUUAGUUGUGAACAGUUUUCAUUUCUUCCUAUUUUGUAGAUGUUCUUGUUGUUAGUUGCAGUCUUUUAUUUCUAUGUUAUUUCCAUUCAGUUAUCAGAUGUUUAUCUUGAAUCCUUAAAUCCAAUUUUUAAUCGUAUAUGUUUGAUUUGAAUCUUUCUUAAUAGUCUUGUCUAUUCUAAGUAUUAUUCAUCUUCAUACUCUGAUCAUCAUCACAGUUCUUAUGCUUAAAUUCCUAUACUACUUCAUUUAGUUUAAAUCUAUUCAAAUAGUUAUACAUAGAUAGAAAUGUCUACUCUGAAAUUCUACAAGUAAUAGAUCAUGAAGAACUAAAGACGAUUCAUCAAUCUUGGCAACACUUCGACCAGAUUUGGUAAUUGGAAGUGGGGUCCCGUCGGCAGUGUAUAUACAGUCUUUACCAGUGUAUUGCCGUGGGUACUUAAUGUUAUCUUCCAAGCUUAUGAUAUGCGAUGUGGCACCCGAGUCAGAGUACCACAUCAUCAUAGCUUCCGAUGAGUAAUUCGUAAUGGCGUAUAACGAACCUCCCUUACUUCUGUUGGGUGCUCGCGGAGGCAAUGUCCGAUUGUAACUCGGUGGAAAUCUGGUUAGGUUCAGUCGAUUAUAACAAUCGACCGCACCAUGCCCUUUGCAGGAACAAAUUUGACACCGUACAUCUACUUUGGAGCCCCAUCCGUUCUUUGCUGCAGCGUUUACCUCACCGGAUUCCAGAACUCACGAUACAUUCCGUGCGCCCAUCCGUAAUUCGUGAUCCAUCAGAAGCUCGUCAAGUUCCGAAAACGAGAGAUUCGGAUCAUAACGCAUAGUAACUGAAGGUACAAAGGCCUCAUAUUCCUCGCUCAGGCCUCCAAGCGCAAUCAAUAUCACUUCUGAUUCUUUCAAUUUCUCCCCGGUGGCAGGGAGCGCAUCUUUGAGUACCGAAAUUUUCGAGAUGUACUCGUCCAUGGACAUUCCCCCCUUUACGGAUUGACUGUAACUGCAGAUGGAGAUGCAUACCGUGUCUGUGAACCUAUGUACCAGAUGCGUAAAGACAUUGUAAGCACGACCAUAUACCGGCGGAAGUUCUAUACAACGCCACGUACUUGAGGAACAAUCGAUGUCGAUAUCCCAGUUAAAAUCCAUCUCAAUAUCAACUGGUCCUGCUGGAUCGUCUCCGGUGAUAUAAGAUUGACGUCCUCGCGAACGUACGUAGCUCAUUAAAUCAAAUCCGUGUAACAUCGCGCAAAAUUGCAUCUCCCACGAGAAGUAAUUAUCUUUCUCGAGAAGAAGACAUCUAAUCGGCUUCGUCGCAGCGGAAGAGAAUGGCGUUUGAUUCGUCAUCGGAGAAGUAGAACUUUCUGUAAUUACAUUUGAUCUGUAUUCAAAGCUGUAAUUGGUUACAAUCUGUUACAACUAACUAUCUAUCCUACGUGGAGCAUACAUGGAUUGUACGUGGCUCCAUUAAAAACU